rnacentral:lncRNA from 1 species
CGGCGACCUCAUCCAUGAGCUUCAUGGUCACACCUCCGUGCACAAAGCCGUGCAGGGUGCAGUCUGAAGGCCCCACCAGGUGGAUCAAGCUGGACUGGCUGUAGCUGACAGUGUUCGGCUCUGGGUUGAGGACUGGCUGGACGAUGUCCCCGUUCCUCCACUUGGUCUCCAUGCGCUCCAGCUUCUGGGCUUCAUACCGCUUCCGGCCCUCCUCCUCC